UAAUUAAAAAAAAAUUGAAACAAACUAUCCUCAAAUGAUCCUAAAAUGGAUGAUCUAGGACAGCCUCUUCGGAAGGAGAGAUUUCUUGCCAGACUUAACAGGGGCAGCUUGCUUAUAUCGCCUUUCCUCCAACCUGUGGAACCUGAAGUGUGUGAAGCUUAUUUUCCUGAGGAGUUAGAAAUGGCUAUGGCAACUUCUCCUUGAUGUAUUUCUGCAGAACUCUUUCAUAUGUCAGUCAGGUGGCCGAUGCCCUGACAGUUCAGCCUCAGGCAGUUCUCCCCUCUCAUACUGAUGGGAAAGGCUUGUGUUCCUAUUUAUGCUGGUAUUCAGACAACACAGAAAGUAUAUUUCAGGUAAGUGAUCUUUUCUUUGUAUGCAGAGUGAAGGUAUACUAAU
rnacentral:lncRNA from 1 species